rnacentral:rRNA from 1 species
UAGGAAUCUUCGGCAAUGGACGAAAGUCUGACCGAGCAACGCCGCGUGAGUGAAGAAGGUUUUCGGAUCGUAAAACUCUGUUGGUAGAGAAGAACGUUGGUGAGAGUGGAAAGCUCAUCAAGUGACGGUAACUACCCAGAAAGGGACGGCUAACUACGUGCC